CCCUUAGAUGUUCUGGGCCGCACGCGCGCUACACUGAUGCAUUCAACAAGCCUAGCCUUGACCGAGAGGUCCGGGUAAUCUUUGAAACUGCAUCGUGAUGGGGCUAGAUUAUUGCAAUUAUUAAUCUUCAACGAGGAAUGCCUAGUAAGCGUGAUUCAUCAAAUCGCGUUGAUUACGUCCCUGCCCUUUGUACACACCGCCCGUCGCUCCUACCGAUUGAAUGUGUUGGUGAGGAGCUCGGAGUGGCAGCAGUUGGUGGUUCGCCACCGGCUAUUGCUGAGAAGUCCUCCAAACCGCCCCAUUUAGAGGAAGGAGAAGUCGUAACA
rnacentral:rRNA from 1 species